rnacentral:rRNA from 1 species
GCUAUCCUACGGGAGGCAGCAGUGGGGAAUAUUGGGCAAUGGGCGCAAGCCUGACCCAGCAACGCCGCGUGAAGGAAGAAGGCUUUCGGGUUGUAAACUUCUUUUCUCAGGGACGAAGAAAGUGACGGUACCUGAGGAAUAAGCCACGGCUAACUACGUGCCAGCAGCCGCGGUAAUACGUAGGUGGCAAGCGUUAUCCGGAUUUACUGGGUGUAAAGGGCGGGUAGGCGGGAAAGGAAGUCAGAUGUGAAAACCACGGGCUCAACCUGUGGCCUGGAUUUGAAAGUGUUGUUCUUGAGGACUGG